AGUGAACGUUGGCGGCGUGGAUUAGGCAUGCAAGUCGAGCGAGAACCGUAGCAAUACGGGGACAGCGGCGAAAGGGACAGUAAUGUGUAGGUACCUACCCCGAGGUCUGGGAUAGCUGCGGGAAACUGCAGGUAAUACCGGAUAAUGUCUUCGGACCAAAGGUGUGAUUCCACCUUGGGAGGGGCCUGCAUCCUAUUAGCUAGUUGGCGGGGUAAUGGCCCACCAAGGCGACGAUGGGUAGCGGGUGUGAGAGCACGACCCGCGUCAUUGGGACUGAGACACUGCCCAGACACCUACGGGUGGCUGCAGUCGAGGAUCUUCGGCAAUGGGCGGAAGCCUGACCGAGCGACGCCGCGUGCGGGAUGAAGGCCUUCGGGUUGUAAACCGCUGUCGUAGAGGAGGAAAUGCAGGUGGGUUCUCCCAUCCGUUUGACCUAUUCUAGGAGGAAGUACGGGCUAAGUUCGUGCCAGCCGCCGCGGUAA
rnacentral:rRNA from 1 species